rnacentral:rRNA from 1 species
GAUGAACGCUGGCGGCGUGCCUAAUACAUGCAAGUCGAGCGAAUGGAUUGAGAGCUUGCUCUUAUGAAGUUAGCGGCGGACGGGUGAGUAACACGUGGGUAACCUGCCCAUAAGACUGGGAUAACUCCGGGAAACCGGGGCUAAUACCGGAUAACAUUUUGAACCGCAUGGUUCGAAAUUGAAAGGCGGCUUCGGCUGUCACUUAUGGAUGGACCCGCGUCGCAUUAGCUAGUUGGUGAGGUAACGGCUCCCCAAGGCAACGAUGCGUAGCCGACGUGGGAGGGUGAGCGGCCACAGUGGGACUGAGACACGGCCCAGGCGCCUGCGCGAGGCAGCAGUAGGGAAUCUUCCGCAAUGGACGAAAGUCUGACGCAGCAACGCCGCGUGAGUGAUGAAGGCUUUCGGGUCGUAAAACUCUGUUGUUAGGGAAGAACAAGUGCUAGUUGAAUAAGCUGGCACCUUGACGGUACCUAACCAGAAAGCCACGGCUAACUACGUGCCAGCCGCCGCUGAAA